CGUAAUACGGCUCAGUAACAUGUGGCUAACCUGCCCUCUGGACGGACCCACCCCCGUUAAACUGGGGAUAAUGUCCGAUAGGCGAAGAGGCCUGGAAUGGUUCUUCACUCCAAAGGUGUUGGGAUCAUGCUAUUCAACGUCGCCAGAGGAUGGGGCCGCAACCGAUCAGGCUGUAGGCGAGGUAACGGCUCACCAAACCCUCAACCGGUACGGGCCGCGGCAGCGAUAGCCCGGAUAUGGGCACUGAGACAAGGGCCCAGGCCCUACGGGGCGCAGCAGUCGCGCAAACUUUGCAAUACACGAAAGCGUGACAGGGCUAUCCCGAGUGCCGUCCGCUGAGGAUGGCUUUUCUCCGGUGUAGUGAGCCGGAGGAAUAAGGAGAGGGCAAGUCUGGUGUCAGCAGCCGCGGUAAUACCAGCUCUCCGAGUGGUAGGGACGAUUAUUGGGCCUAAAGCGUCCGUAGCCGGCUAUACAAGUUUCCCGUUAAAUCCAGCGAUCUAAUCGUUGGCAUGCGGGAUAUACUGUUUGGCUAGGGGGCGAGAGAGACCAACGGUAUUCCCGGGGUAGGGAUGAAAUCUUAUAAUCCCGGGAGGACCACCAGUGGCGAUAGCUGUUGGCUAGAACGCGCUCGACGGUGAGGGACGUAAGCUGGGGGAGCGAACCGGAUUAGAUACCCGGGUAGUCCCAGCUGUAUACGAUGUAGACUAGGUGUUAGGGCGGUUACGAGCCGCGCUAGUGCCGCAGGAAAGCCAUUAAGUCUNCCGCCUGGGGAUUAGCCCGG
rnacentral:rRNA from 1 species